CAGAAAAAAAAAAAAAAAAAAAAAAAAAAAAAAAAAAAAAAAAAA
rnacentral:ribozyme from 13 species